UUCUCGAGCAAGAGAAGGGCGUUCGGUGGAUGCCUUGGCGCCAGGAGGCGAUGAAGGACGUGGCACGCUGCGAAAAGCCGCGGGGAGAUGCGAGCGAUCGUUGAUCCGCGGAUGUCCGAAUGGGGAAACCCACUCCGCAAGGAGUAUCCCAGACUGAAUUCAUAGGUUUGGGAAGCGAACCCGGGGAACUGAAACAUCUCAGUACCUGGAGGAAAAGACAUCAACAGAGAUUCCGCGAGUAGUGGCGAGCGAAAGCGGAGUAGGCCAGUGGUCAGUGAGGUCUAAGUCGAACGGUCUGGAAAGGCCGGCCGCAGCGGGUGAUAGCCCCGUAGACGUGUUGAUCUCAUUGAUCCUUGAGUAGGGCGGGGCACGUGAAACCCUGUCUGAACAUGGGGGGACCACCCUCCAAGCCUAAAUACUCCCUGGCGACCGAUAGUGCACAAGUACCGUGAGGGAAAGGUGAAAAGCACCCCGACGAGGGGAGUGAAAGAGACCUGAAACCGAGCGCCUACAAGCAGUCGGAGCCCGAAAGGGUGACGGCGUACCUUUUGUAUAAUGGGUCCGCGAGUUCGUGUUCGUGGCAAGCUUAAGCCGGUAGGUGAAGGCGCAGCGAAAGCGAGUCCGAAAUGGGCGAAUAGUCACGGGCAUGAGACCCGAAACCGAGUGAUCUAGCCAUGGCCAGGCUGAAGGUGGGGUAACACCUACUGGAGGGCCGAACCCACGCCUGUUGAAAAAGUCGGGGAUGAGCUGUGGCUAGGGGUGAAAGGCCAAUCAAACUCGGAAAUAGCUGGUUCUCCGCGAAAUCUAUUGAGGUAGAUCGUCAUGUGUUUACCGCCGGAGGUAGAGCACCGGAUGGGCUAGGGGGACCCAAAGUCCUACCAAACCCAACCGAACUCCGAAUGCCGGUGAGUAUAGCGUGGCAGACAGACAGUGGGUGCUAAGGUCCAUUGUCGAGAGGGAAACAGCCCAGACCACCGUCUAAGGUCCCCAAAUGAUGGCUAAGUGGGAAAGCAUGUGGGACGGCCAAAACAACCAGGAGGUUGGCUUAGAAGCAGCCAUCCUUUAAAGAUAGCGUAACAGCUCACUGGUCUAGACAAGCUGUCCUGCGGCGAAGAUGUAACGGGGCUCAAGCCACGAGCCGAAGCUCAGGAUGCACAGCAAUGUGCGUGGUAGCGGAGCGUUCUGUGAUAUAGCUCAAUGCCUCUUCUCUGCCCUUCGGGGUGGAUCGGAGGCAAGGAGCUUUCUGUGAAGCCGGGCCGUGAGGCAUCCGGUGGAGAGAUCAGAAGCGAGAAUGUUGACAUGAGUAGCGACAAACAGGGUGAGAGACCCUGUCGCCGAAAUCCCAAGGGUUCCUGCGUUAUGUUAAUCAGAGCAGGGUUAGCCGGCCCCUAAGGCGAGGCCGAAAGGCGUAGUCGAUGGGAACCAGGUUAAUAUUCCUGGGCCAGGAGGAUGUGACGGAUCUCAGGUGUAGUUCAGGCUUAUCGGAUUGUCUGGGCUGCUGAGAGGUUCCUGGAAAUAGCCCUCCAUCAGACCGUACCCUAAACCGACACAGGUGGACUGGUAGAGUAUACCAAGGCGCUUGAGAGAACCACGUUAAAGGAACUCGGCAAAAUGCCUCCGUAAGUUCGCGAGAAGGAGGCCCCGUCUGUAGGCAACUAUGGGCGGGGGGCACAAACUAGGGGGUGGCGACUGUUUACUUAAAACACAGGGCUCUGCGAAGCCGUAAGGCGACGUAUAGGGUCUGACGCCUGCCCGGUGCUGGAAGGUUAAAAGGAGGGGUGCAAGCUCCGAAUUGAAGCCCCAGUAAACGGCGGCCGUAACUAU
rnacentral:rRNA from 1 species